UGAUGAGACUAAUAGGAUAAAUUAAAUGGCUAUAAAUUCUCCACAUUAAAAUCUAUAGGGUAGUGCUGAGACAGCAAUAUUAGCAUCAUGUAGGCACUUGAAGGGGUGUCUGUAGUGAACCCUAUAUUCUUGAGGGAAAAAUUCAGUGUUCAUAGAUAUUUAUAAUCAUCUAGGGUUUUGCUCUGGGUUUCUAACCUUAGCCAAUCCCUCAGCCCAUUUCUGAUCUGUCUCAUCUUCAACGUCAGCCCUUAAAUCUUAGAGAUAAAAUGAUGCUCAUUGUUUGGUAGAAAACAAAGGUGAAAAUCUGGUGGUUGGUUUUUGGACAGUGUCACAAUGUUCCUGCUUCAAAGUAAUCCCCUCAAACAGCUACUUAUUGAGCACCUACUAUGUUCCAGGCAUGAAAAUCCCUACCUUCAUGGAGCUUUCAUUUACAUGGAUGGAGAAUAAAAACAUUGAAAAUUAAAUACGUAUUAUGUCAGAAGGUGGUAAGUGCUAUGAAGAAAAAUAAUGCAAGAAAGGGGAACAUUUCACAUCUAAUCUGUCA
rnacentral:lncRNA from 1 species